AUUGAACGCUGGCGGCAUGCCUUACACAUGCAAGUCGAACGGUAACAGGUCUUCGGAUGCUGACGAGUGGCGAACGGGUGAGUAAUACAUCGGAACGUGCCCGAUCGUGGGGGAUAACGAAGCGAAAGCUUUGCUAAUACCGCAUAAGAUCUACGGAUGAAAGCAGGGGACCGCAAGGCCUUGCGCGAACGGAGCGGCCGAUGGCAGAUUAGGUAGUUGGUGGGAUAAAAGCUUACCAAGCCGACGAUCUGUAGCUGGUCUGAGAGGACGACCAGCCACACUGGGACUGAGACACGGCCCAGACUCCUACGGGAGGCAGCAGUGGGGAAUUUGGACAAUGGGCGAAAGCCUGAUCCAGCCAUGCCGCGUGCAGGAUGAAGGCCUUCGGGUUGUAACUGCUUUGUACGGAACGAAAGACUCUGGUUAAUACCUGGGUCCAUGACGGUACCGUAAGAAUAAGCACCGGCUAACUACGUGCCAGCAGCCGCGGUAAUA
rnacentral:rRNA from 1 species